rnacentral:rRNA from 1 species
AUUGAACGCUGGCGGCAUGCUUUACACAUGCAAGUCGAACGGCAGCACGAAAGAGCUUGCUCUUUUGGUGGCGAGUGGCGAACGGGUGAGUAAUGCAUCGGAACGUACCGAGUAAUGGGGGAUAACUGUCCGAAAGGAUAGCUAAUACCGCAUACGCUUUGAGAAGGAAAGUGGGGGCUCUUCGGACCUCACGUUAUUCGAGCGGCCGAUGUCUGAUUAGCUAGUUGGUGGGGUAAAGGCCUACCAAGGCGACGAUCAGUAGCGGGUCUGAGAGGAUGAUCCGCCACACUGGGACUGAGACACGGCCCAGACUCCUACGGGAGGCAGCAGUGGGGAAUUUUGGACAAUGGGCGCAAGCCUGAUCCAGCCAUGCCGCGUGUCUGAAGAAGGCCCUCGGGUUGUAAAGGACUUUUGUUAGGGAAGAAAAGGAUAGUGUUAAUACCAUGAUCUGCUGACGGUACCUAAAGAAUAAGCACCGGCUAACUACGUG